UACGUAGGGGGCAAGCGUUGUCCGGAAUUAUUGGGCGUAAAGAGCUCGUAGGCGGUUUGUCGCGUCUGCUGUGAAAGACCGGGGCUCAACUCCGGUUCUGCAGUGGGUACGGGCAGACUAGAGUGCAGUAGGGGAGACUGGAAUUCCUGGUGUAGCGGUGAAAUGCGCAGAUAUCAGGAGGAACACCGAUGGCGAAGGCAGGUCUCUGGGCUGUAACUGACGCUGAGGAGCGAAAGCAUGGGGAGCGAACAGG
rnacentral:rRNA from 1 species